rnacentral:rRNA from 1 species
GACGAGCGCUGGCGGCGUGCUUAACACAUGCAAGUCGAACGGAAAGGCCCUGCUUUUGUGGGGUGCUCGAGUGGCGAACGGGUGAGUAGCACGUGAGUAACCUGCCCUUGACUUUGGGAUAACUUCAGGAAACUGGGGCUAAUACCGGAUAGGAGCUCCUGCUGCAUGGUGGGGGUUGGAAAGUUUCGGCGGUUGGGGAUGGACUCGCGGCUUAUCAGCUUGUUGGUGGGGUAGUGGCUUACCAAGGCUUUGACGGGUAGCCGGCCUGAGAGGGUGACCGGCCACAUUGGGACUGAGAUACGGCCCAGACUCCUACGGGAGGCAGCAGUGGGGAAUAUUGCACAAUGGGCGGAAGCCUGAUGCAGCAACGCCGCGUGCGGGAUGACGGCCUUCGGGUUGUAAACCGCUUUCGCCUGUGACGAAGCGUGAGUGACGGUAAUGGGUAAAGAAGCACCGGCUAACUACGUG